UGGAGCGACAAAGUUGUAGUAUAUUGUCAACUUAAUGUGACAACGUGUCAACUUAAUGUGUUCCCUUAUUGGGAUUGUCACAUUAAGUUGACAAUAUACUACAACUUUGUCGCUC
rnacentral:pre_miRNA from 1 species